rnacentral:rRNA from 1 species
GACGAACGCUGGCGGCGUGCUUAACACAUGCAAGUCGAGCGAGAAAGCACCUUCGGGUGUGAGUACAGCGGCGAACGGGUGAGUAACACGUGGGCAACCUGCCCUGGAGAGCGGGACAACCCGAGGAAACUCGGGCUAAUACCGCAUAUUCCGAUUCGGCCCAGGUCGAAUCGGGAAAUGGUAGCUUCGGCCUCCGCUCCGGGAUGGGCCCGCGCCGCAUUAGCUAGUUGGUGAGGUAACGGCUCACCAAGGCGACGAUGCGUAGCUGGUCUGAGAGGACGAUCAGCCACACUGGGACUGAGACACGGCCCAGACUCC